UACGUAGGGUGCAAGCGUUAAUCGGAAUUACUGGGCGUAAAGCGUGCGCAGGCGGCUUUGCAAGACAGAUGUGAAAUCCCCGGGCUUAACCUGGGAACUGCAUUUGUGACUGCAUGGCUGGAGUGCGGCAGAGGGGGAUGGAAUUCCGCGUGUAGCAGUGAAAUGCGUAGAUAUGCGGAGGAACACCGGUGGCGAAGGCGGCCCACUGGUCCGGUACUGACGCUGAGGUGCGAAAGCGUGGGGAGCAAACAGG
rnacentral:rRNA from 1 species